rnacentral:lncRNA from 1 species
GUUCCUCCGCUCCUAAAUGUAAGUCUUUUUAGAUAUUCAAAUGUACUACCACAUACGGAUGUAUAUAGACAUAUUUUAGAGUGUAGGUUCAUUCAUUUUGCUAUAUUUUAGAGUGUAGGUUCAUUCAUUUUGCUGUAUGUAGUCACAAGUUGAAAUCUCUAUAAAGACAUAUUUAGGAACGGAGGGAGUAGAUAAGAAAUCAUAAUAUCCUGACUCUUGCAAAUUUCAUAUGAAGAUCCUUUGAAUCAAAGAGGCAGCUAAACAGGGAAAGAAAACAAAUGAAAAUCCAUGUACUACUAUGUGUACUCCAUUGUCAACAUUCAUGAGGUCCUAUAUUUUGCAUACAUACACACAGAACAGCUAGCUCCGACCUCCAAAGGCACUUUUUACUGUAUAUCUGCUCUAGCUAGCUGAUCUCUUGAUCCCAACAGCACAAAUACAAAACAAAACUAGGUUGUCUCUCUUGUUCUUCUUCCUCUAGCUAGCUGAUCUCUUGUUCUUCUCCUGAUCAAAUCAAAAGAAAAAUAUGCACAGAUUAUUCGUGAAGUCAACAAAUUAUUCAUGGUGUUACAAAAAACAUGCAGAAUCAUCUCUAAUCCAUAGGAUCGCACAGCCAGAUCGGGCCUCUACAAGGCCAGCGGCCGAACCAAUUAGGAGAUCGAGCUGCUCAACCGGCAAGGGCAAACCGAGCAGGUCUGUGCUGUUCACACGGGCUGCCGGCAGCUCCCAUAGGCAGAUCGGCCAGGCGGCCGCGGGUGCACGGCGGGUGCGCGCGCGCACGUAGUCUACGUGCCGCCGGAGUCCCGUGCCUGCUCCCACGGCCGGGCGGGCGGCCGCGAGCGACGGCGAGCAGGUCGCCAGAAGCUGGGGACGGGAGGGAGGGACUAGAUCUUGGGACAGGAGGGAGGGGGAAGAGAGAAGGAGAGCUUUACCUUGGCACCGGCGAAGAGGAGAUGCGGCAGCGGAUGGGAGAGAGAGCGGCGGAGAGAGGGGAAAUGCGAGCCGACGGGAUCGGAAGAGGAGACCUAGCUCGCAACUUUUGGGAGAUUGGAUCAUUUGCCCCACUUUACUUGGGCAUUAAAUGAUUUGCCCCAUUUUACAUAGGAUUAGAUCAUUUGCCCCACUUUUCAUUUUUCUUUUGAUGAUUUGCCCUUUCCAAUUACUGUAAUCAUUUUCGAUUUUGUAUCCCUUUUUUCUCCAUGCGAAAAGACACAAUUACCCCUGUGGCUAAUUUACAAUUCUUCUCCGCUUUUGGACUGAUAUUGCAUCGACGAGCUCACUAUUCUUCUUUCCUCUGUUCUUCUUUCCCCAGUACACAUACGAGAGGAGGCCGACGAUGGCACUUUGGCCCUGAUCUUGGCAGCAGCGGCCUAGCGCGGCAGCUCCCGCUGCAGAUCGUCGGCCGGCGCCGGCUGCUCCGCUGCAGCUCGGCGGACCGGCGUGUCCCGGGGCUCCCACUGCN